AAUCAACGCUGGCGGCGUGCCUCAGACAUGCAAGUCGAACGCGAAAGUUCCCUUCGGGGAAUAAGUAGAGUGGCGCACGGGUGAGUAACACGUAGGUAAUCUACCUUCGGGUGGGGAAUAACCCAGGGAAACUUGGGCUAACACCGCAUGAUGCAGCGGCACCACAUGGUGACAGUUGUUAAAGCGGGGGAUUUUCGGACCUCGCGCCUGAAGAGGAGCCUGCGGCGGAUUAGCUAGNGGUGAGGUAACGGCUCACCAAGGUCACGAUCCGUAGCCGGCCUGAGAGGGCGGUCGGCCACACUGACACUGACAUACGGGUCAGACUCCUACGGGAGGCAGCAGUCGGGAAUUUUGGGCAAUGGGCGAAAGCCUGACCCAGCAACGCCGCGUGAAGGAUGAAAUCCCUCGGGAUGUAAAACUUCGCAAGAAUGGGAAGAAUUAGCGAGCGCGAAUACCGCUCGUGAUGACGGUACCAUUUGUAAGCUCCGGCUAACUCCGUGCCAGCA
rnacentral:rRNA from 1 species